GUAGAGCUUCCAACACACCUUGUGCUUCUGCUUCCGCUAUCUCCUGCUUUCCUUCGAAACUCCGCGUAUACGCCUUCACAAAGCAGCCCUGAGCGUCUCGCACACAUGCUGCAACACCGUACAUAUUAAUCUCGCUAUAGCAUGCUGCAUCAAUAUUACACUUUAGCGCCCCUAUAGCUGGUCUGGUCCCAUAGUGUGACAUUUAUUCUUCCUUUAUAAUUAUAAUAAUUACAUAUGAACAAAAGGUAGACGGACAAAAAGCUGCGCCGCUAAAAAAAAUAGGCUGUGUGACAUACUUUUUCUCUAUUCUCUCCUCCUUCAUAAUUUUUUUUUUGGAUCCUUCUUCAUAUUUAAACCCCAAUCGAAUUCAAAAUUUCUAAGUUCUCAUUCUCAAGAACGUUUCCUUACCCGCCAAAUUCCAAUCCUUUCUCCCUCCAAAUGUCACACUCCGUCGAACAACAACUCUCCCUCUUUCGCUACCUCAUCCAAACCAGAAGUUUCGGCAACGCUACGCUCCGAUUUCUGGAUUCGCUUUUAGUCUCCAAAGACGUGAAAUCCUUAGUGGAGAUUCGAUCCAGCUUGAUGCAACUCCUCAAAUCUGAAUCACUAUCCAUCAUUCAAUCAAUCGCUGCAGAAUCCGUCCACGAUAAGCUACUCGUUCUCGAGUUCUUCGUUCGCGCUUUCGCUCUCGUUGGAGAUCUAGAGAGUUGUCUGGCUUUGAGAUAUGAAGCUUUAGUUAUGCGUGAAAUCAAAUCCGCUAGUUUUCAAUUGCUUCAAGUUUCGCCGGUAGAAUGGUUAAAGUUUGUUGAGGAUGCUGUGCAGAACGGUUUUCAUUCAGUUGCAGUUAAGGCAUGUGAAAAUGCUUUGCGUUGCAUUGGAAAUGAUGAUGUUCAAAAGCUUGGAAGAGACGCGUUUCCUGAAAAGUCGAAGGCAACUACUAUCACAGAGAUUACUAGGCUUAGGAACUUUGCAAUGACAUCAAUUACUUCACGUUCUGGUACAAGCAACAGAGUACCUAGAAAGGAAAACAAGAGAGCGGCAAAAGUUGGACUUACCCUACAAAGAAAAACGAUGUCUAGCAAGCACUUCCUUCAGAAAUGGAAUUAAGAGACAGAAUAUGCGAAAGUUAUAUGAACGACAAAGCCUUCUGCAGGUCAAUGGUGAAUUGCAUGAACCACAUCCAAAUUUGAGCUGAAGCAGAUAGUACAGAUUGCAACCUCCAAGGUUUCAAGUUUGUAAUCAUACUGGUACUUUGUUGAUUGAUUCUUAGUUUCAUACUAUAUCUGGAUUCUGAUAACUCACUUCUGUUUGGCUAGUGAAAGCUAUGUGUACUCAUCCAUAUUGCUCCAGGUUAAUAGGGGGGUUUAGUAUCCUUGCUCAGGCAUUAUAAAGUUAUAUGAGUGACAGAGGGUGAGAGGGGUGGAUAAGCAAUUACGUGGUGUUAGUUAUAAAAAAGAAAUCCGUGUCAGUUGAUGUUGAUUCAUUAAUCUUCGUUAUUAAGCAAGUUCUGUUGAUUCUUAUUUUUUGACCAGAAGUUCUUUUGAUAACAAGACCUUGUAAUAGCAAGCCUUAAGACAAUACAAAGGAGAAAUAGUCAUCAUCAAUUGUGAAAUAUGGUCACUCCAAUCAGGGUCUUAUUUUUUCUUCAUAGGUUCCCUAUUCAAUGUCUGUCGAUACCUCUUUUGGCCGAGAUUCAAAUUUUAGCUAGCCACAUUGUAGAAAUCUAUCCUCUUCCGCUAGACCAAACCUCUAUUAAUAGUCACUCUGGUGUCUUUUGUUGUAUUUAUUGGGCCAAAUUAAUUAAUGAAAAAUGCAUUCAAGAUCCAAACAAAUUAAGGAAAGACAAUUCAAAGAUAGAUCUCUCCAACGAAAGAUAUAUCUAGAAAUGUGUUUAUAAUUUUGAUACAUUCAUAAACUAUUAUACCAAUGUCCUACGUAUUUAAUGAGCAAAUUAUUGUUACUUUACGUCUAGAAUAGAUAAUGGUUAAAAUGGUCUCUAAGAACUAGUUCAACUGAUAAUACAGAUAAUACGAAAGCUGAACACUUUCAAAUAGUGCUUGCCAGUUGCCACUUCA